rnacentral:hammerhead_ribozyme from 1 species
GCACUGCUGAGGAGUCCCAUACUAGGACGAAACGGCCGCCCAGUGU